rnacentral:tRNA from 1 species
GCCUGACUGGCUCAGUGGGUACAGCGUGUGGCUCUUGUUCUCGGGGUUGUGGGUUCAAGCCCCAUGUUGGGUG